rnacentral:rRNA from 1 species
AUUGAACGCUGGCGGCAUGCCUUACACAUGCAAGUCGAACGGUAGAGGGGGCAACCCCUCGAGAGUGGCGAACGGGUGAGUAAAGCAUCGGAACGUGCCCAGUAGUGGGGGAUAGCCCGGCGAAAGCCGGAUUAAUACCGCAUGAGACCUACGGGUGAAAGGGGGGGAUCGCAAGACCUCUCGCUAUUGGAGCGGCCGAUGUCAGAUUAGGUAGUUGGUGGGGUAAAGGCCUACCAAGCCGACGAUCUGUAGCUGGUCUGAGAGGACGACCAGCCACACUGGGACUGAGACACGGCCCAGACUCCUACGGGAGGCAGCAGUGGGGAAUUUUGGACAAUGGGCGAAAGCCUGAUCCAGCCAUGCCGCGUGCGGGAAGAAGGCCUUCGGGUUGUAAACCGCUUUUGUCAGGGAAGAAAUCCUUUGAGUUAAUACCUCGGGGGGAUGACGGUACCUGAAGAAUAAGCACCGGCUAACUACGUGCCAGCCGCCGCCGUAAAAC